UACGGAGGGUGCAAGCGUUUGUCCGGAUUUAUUGGGUUUAAAGGGUGCGUAGGCGGCUUGAUAAGUCCGUGGUGAAAGCCAACAGCUCAACUGUUGAACUGCCAUGGAUACUGUCAGGCUUGAGUACAGACGAGGUAGGCGGAAUGGAUCGUGUAGCGGUGAAAUGCAUAGAUACGAUCCAGAACUCCGAUUGCGAAGGCAGCUUACUAGGCUGUAACUGACGCUGAGGCACGAAAGCGUGGGGAGCGAACAGG
rnacentral:rRNA from 1 species